AUGUAUAUGAGGCUAGGAUUGAAUCGGUCAAUUGCUGUUACACGCUUCUGGAGAUGUAUAGUUCAUCCUCUGUUCCUCUCUCCUGCUGACUGUUAUGUUACACUUAAAGCAAGACAAAGCAGAAGAAGAAAAAAAAAGCUGGUCACCGGUCGAGCGCUUUAUGAGGAACAGAAACAGAUGGCUGAUGUCUGGCUGUUCUUCGGUGUACCACUAGAAAAUUUGACCAGCAGCAGAUUAGCGACAAUGGACUGCUCAGCUGUGUGGCCAGUUUUCUAUGACGGGGAGGAUGGCUGUGACUGUGACGUGUUGGCGUUUCCUUGA
rnacentral:rRNA from 1 species